GACGAACGCUGGCGGCGUGCUUAACACAUGCAAGUCGAACGGAAAGGCCCUGCUUUCGUGGGGUGCUCGAUUGGCGAACGGGUGAGUAACACGUGAGUAACCUGCCCUUGACUUUGGGAUAACUUCAGGAAACUGGGGCUAAUACCGGAUAGGAGCUCCUGCUGCAUGGUGGGGGUUGGAAAGUUUCGGCGGUUGGGGAUGGACUCGCGGCUUAUCAGCUUGUUGGUGGGGUAGUGGCUUACCAAGGCUUUGACGGGUAGCCGGCCUGAGAGGGUGACCGGCCACAUUGGGACUGAGAUACGGCCCAGACUCCUACGGGAGGCAGCAGUGGGGAAUAUUGCACAAUGGGCGGAAGCCUGAUGCAGCAACGCCGCGUGCGGGAUGACGGCCUUCGGGUUGUAAACCGCUUUCGCCUGUGACGAAGCGUGAGUGACGGUAAUGGGUAAAGAAGCACCGGCUAACUACGUG
rnacentral:rRNA from 1 species